AUCUGCCUUCCUAACCUCAUGCUUCCUAACACAAUUAAAAUUCCAUUUCACAUCCAACCACCACUUCGGAUUUGAAGCUGCUGCCUGAU